AUUGAACGCUGGCGGCAGUCCUAACACAUGCAAGUAGCGCGAGCGGCGGACGCGUGAGUAUUGUCUGGGAGACUGCCUGAUGGAGGGGGAUAACUACUGGAAAAGGUAGCCAAUACCGCAUAACAUCAGAGGUGCGCAGAUGGGGUUAGCUAGUAGGUGGGGUAAUGACUCACCCAGGCGACAUUCCCUAGCUGGUCUGAGAGGAUGACCAGCCACACGGGAACUGAGACACGGUCCAGACUCCUACGGGAGGCAGCAGUGGGGAAUAUUGCACAAUGGGCGAAAGCCUGAUCCAGCCAUGCCGCGUGUGUGAAGAAGGUCUUCGGAUUGUAAAGCACUUUAAGUUGGGAGGCGUUACCAACAGAAUAAGCACCGGCUAACUUCGUGCCAGCAGCCGCGGUAAUAC
rnacentral:rRNA from 1 species